UAGCAGACUUCAGAAUGUAGUGCCUACAGGAGCCACAAACAUGCAUGAGGGAUUUAAGAAGGCAAAUGAGCAGAUUCAGCAAGCAAACUCUGGAGGAGACAAGGUUCCCACCGUGAUUAUCGCUCUGACCGAUGGAGCACUGCUGCCA